GUGCACCAGGCGCGAAACCUUCGCAAUGCGGGAAACCGCGACGAGGGGACUCCCAGUGCCUACGCUCAGCGUAGGCUGUUCCCGAGCCUAGAAAGCUCGGGGAGUAAGGGCUGGGUAAGACGGUGCCAGCCGCCGCGGUAAUACCCGCAGCCCGAGUGGUGGCCACUAUUAUUGGGCCUAAAGCGUCCGUAGCCGGCCCGGUAAAUGCCUGGGUAAAUCGUGAGGCCUAACCUCACGAAUUCCGGGUAGACUGCCGGGCUAGGGACCGGAGGAGGGAGAGGGUACUCCAGGGGUAGGGGUGAAAUCCUGUAAUCCCUGGAGGACCACCGGUGGCGAAGGCGCUCUCCUAGGACGGUCCGACGGUGAGGGACGAAAGCCAGGGGAGCGAACCGGAUUAGAUACCCGUGUAGU
rnacentral:rRNA from 1 species